CGAAGGGGCGUAGCGUUGCUCGGAAUGACUGGGCGUAAAGGGACGCGUAGGCGGUUGAUGCAGUCAGAUGUGAAAAUCCCCGGACUUAACCUGGGAACUGCAUUUGAGACGCAUUGACUAGAGUUCGAGAGAGGGUUGUGGAAUUCCCAGUGUAGAGGUGAAAUUCGUAGAUAUUGGGAAGAACACCGGUGGCGAAGGCGGCAACCUGGCUCGAUACUGACGCUGAGGCGCGAAAGCGUGGGGGAGCAAACAGGAUU
rnacentral:rRNA from 1 species